rnacentral:rRNA from 1 species
GAGCUCGUAGGCGGUUUGUCGCGUCUGCUGUGAAAGCCCGGGGCUCAACCCCGGGUCUGCAGUGGGUACGGGCAGACUAGAGUGCAGUAGGGGAGACUGGAAUUCCUGGUGUAGCGGUGAAAUGCGCAGAUAUCAGGAGGAACACCGAUGGCGAAGGCAGGUCUCUGGGCUGUUACUGACGCUGAGGAGCGAAAGCAUGGGGAGCGAACAGGAUUAGAUACCCUGGUAGUCCAUGCCGUAAACGUUGGGCACUAGGUGUGGGGGACAUUCCACGUUCUCCGCGCCGUAGCUAACGCAUUAAGUGCCCCGCCUGGGGAGUACGGCCGCAAGGCUAAAACUCAAAGGAAUUGACGGGGGCCCGCACAAGCGGCGGAGCAUGCGGAUUAAUUCGAUGCAACGCGAAGAACCUUACCAAGGCUUGACAUCCGCCGGACCGCUCCAGAGAUGGGGUCUCCCUUCGGGGUCGGUGGACAGGUGGUGCAUGGUUGUCGUCAGCUCGUGUCGUGAGAUGUUGGGUUAAGUCCCGCAACGAGCGCAACCCUCGUUCUAUGUUGCCAGCACGUGAUGGUGGGGACUCAUAGGAGACUGCCGGGGUCAACUCGGAGGAAGGUGGGGAUGACGUCAAAUCAUCAUGCCCCUUAUGUCUUGGGCUUCACGCAUGCUACAAUGGCCGGUACAAAGGGUUGCGAUACUGUGAGGUGGAGCUAAUCCCAAAAAGCCGGUCUCAGUUCGGAUUGAGGUCUGCAACUCGACCUCAUGAAGUCGGAGUCGCUAGUAAUCGCAGAUCAGCAA